rnacentral:tRNA from 1 species
AGUUAAUUAAUUUAAAUAAAAUAGUUAUUUUGAAAAUAAAAUUUAGAAAAUAUUAAUUCUAUUAACUU